AUUGAACGCUGGCGGCAGGCCUAACACAUGCAAGUCGAGCGAGCGGCGGACGGGUGAGUAAUGUCUGGGAAACUGCCUGAUGGAGGGGGAUAACUACUGGAAACGGUAGCUAAUACCGCACACCAUCAGAUGUGCCCAGAUGGGAUUAGCGAGUGGUUGGGGUAACGGCUCACCUAGGCGACGAUCCCUAGCUGGUCUGAGAGGAUGACCAGCCACACUGGAACUGAAACACGGUCCAGACUCCUACGGGAGGCGGCGGAGGGGAAUAUUGCACAAUGGGCGCAGCCCUGGUGCGGCCAUGCCGCGUGUGUGAAGGAGGCCUUCGGGUUGUAAAGCACUUUCAGCGGGGAGGCGUUACCCGCAGAAGAAGCACCGGCUAACUCCGUGCCAGCAGCCGCGGUAAUAC
rnacentral:rRNA from 1 species